GAUGAACGCUAGCUACAGGCUUAACACAUGCAAGUCGAGCGACCGGCGCACGGGUGAGUAACACGUAUCCAACCUGCCCUUUACUCGGGGAUAGCCUUUAGAAAGAAAGAUUAAUACCCGAUAUAAAGGAUGGGGAUGCGUUUCAUUAGGUUGUUGGUGAGGUAACGGCUCACCAAGCCUACGAUGGAUAGGGGUUCUGAGAGGAAGGACCCCGGCAGUGGAACUGAGACACGGACCAAACUCGUACGGGAGGGAGGAGAGGGGAAUAUAGGUGAAUGGGCGCUAGCCUGAACCAGCCAAGUAGCGUGAAGGAUGAAGGGUUAUGGGUCGUAAACUUCAUUUAAAUAAGAAUAGGUAUUAAAUGAAUAAGGAUCGGCUAACUCCGUGCCAGCAGCCGCGGUAAUAC
rnacentral:rRNA from 1 species